rnacentral:snRNA from 1 species
AUACUUACCUAGGAGGGGAGAUGCCGUGAUCACAAAGGUGGUUUUCCCAGGGCAAGUCAUACACUGCACUCCUGAUGUGCUGACCCCUGUGAUUGCCCCAAAUGUAGGAAAUUUGGAGGUGGGGGAGGUGGGACUGAGUUCAUGCUUUUG